CUUCCAGUAUCCGUAUACACUGCUAUAUACUACUAUAUACACCACAGGAGAAAUGCUAGCACAGGCUUCCAGUAUCCGUAUACACUGCUAUAUACUACUAUAUACACCGCAGGAGAAAUGCUAGCACAGGAUUCCAGUAUCCGUAGUUUCAGGUGCUGCACAUCUCGUAUCUUCACAGCAUAGACAAUUGACUUCAGAUGACCCCAAAUAUAAAAGUCUAAGGGGGUCAGAUCGGGAGACCUUGGGGGCCAUUCAACUGGCCCACGUUGACCAAUCCACUUUCCAGGAAACUGUUCAUCCUGAGGUAUUUCAAGGAGAGGAUCCAGAGUUUGUUUGUCUUUUAUUCUCUUCCCCCUAACCAACAGGUGCAAUUGCUCACAGGACAGCUAAAGGGACCAGCACUAGAGGAAGUCCGCACCUGGCCCAUCUCCAAGUAGGCAACUGUUGAGCAGAUCUUUGAAGGACUGUACAAGGUAUUUUAGUCACAUUUUCCGUCAGAGGUACAUCUCCGGGUGCAUGAAGACGACAGAAGCCAGGUGCUCAGGAUACUUUGCUGGCCAAAAUUGUAUUCCUGUACUCACUACGCACGUAACUACAAAAUCAAAGCUAUACUUGAAGUCCAUCUGAAUUUUUACCUUGACGCUCUCCAACCCUGAUUGGAUACCUGCCCUGGUGGAGGAACGCCUUUUUAUAUAUAUAUUUAUACCAACAUGGCCCUAGUGGUGUUUACAGUGAAUCCUCUACUAUAUGGGGCUCACACCAGCACUGACCAGAGGAGAAGAUUGCAGCAGAUGGGCAGAAGCAAGUAAGUAAAGCUUCGGUGGCCAUCUUGAUUCUUCAGACUCAAAGUAUCCAUCAGGCACUUGAAGAAGCUACUUUAUA